GAUGAACGCUGGCGGCGUGCCUAAUACAUGCAAGUCGAGCGAACAGACGAGGAGCUUGCUCCUCUGACGUUAGCGGCGGACGGGUGAGUAACACGUGGAUAACCUACCUAUAAGACUGGGAUAACUUCGGGAAACCGGAGCUAAUACCGGAUAAUAUAUUGAACCGCAUGGUUCAAUAGUGAAAGACGGUUUUGCUGUCACUUAUAGAUGGAUCCGCGCCGCAUUAGCUAGUUGGUAAGGUAACGGCUUACCAAGGCAACGAUGCGUAGCCGACCUGAGAGGGUGAUCGGCCACACUGGAACUGAGACACGGUCCAGACUCCUACGGGAGGCAGCAGUAGGGAAUCUUCCGCAAUGGGCGAAAGCCUGACGGAGCAACGCCGCGUGAGUGAUGAAGGUCUUCGGAUCGUAAAACUCUGUUAUUAGGGAAGAACAAAUGUGUAAGUAACUAUGCAAGUCUUGACGGUACCUAAUCAGAAAGCCACGGCUAACUACGUG
rnacentral:rRNA from 1 species